rnacentral:rRNA from 1 species
UACGGAGGGUGCAAGCGUUGUUCGGAAUUACUGGGCGUAAAGGGCUCGUAGGUGGCCAACUAAGUCAAACGUGAAAUCCCUCGGCUUAACCGGGGAACUGCGUUUGAUACUGGAUGGCUUGAGUUUGGGAGAGGGAUGCGGAAUUCUUGGUGUAGCGGUGAAAUGCGUAGAUAUCAAGAGGAACACCUGAGGCGAAGGCGGGUUGCUAGGCUGACACUGACGCUGAGGCGCGAAAGCCAGGGGAGCAAACGGG